UUUGCCUGCAGUCAACUGGAGCCAGAACUUCUCAGAGGGAGAUGGGGAGUCCUGGUGGAUGUGUGCCUAUGGCCACCCUCUGCCAGAGCUGCUCCGUGCUUAAAAGCCCCUGGGCUCCAAGUGGGCUGAAGCCCUACCUCUACCUACUCUCCAGGCACAUCCUCCUGCCAGCUCAAACACCCAUGGAAGAAGUGGGGGCUCUGUAGCUAGGAUCCCAGAGGUCUGUAGUGAGAGUGAGCUGUAUAUCAGUCCCUUCAUUCACUCCUUGCCUGGGAGCUGUUGAAGGCCAGGAACUAGCCCUAGCAUUCAGGUACCCCAAUGUUCCCAGCUUCCUCCCUCUUCAGCCUCUGAGUCUGCAUUGCUUCUCCAUCCGCUCCAGAACCUGAUUUAAAUGGAGGCUGUACUUCUUGGCUGUCUUUGUAUGGGAGAUCAUGUUACACAAGGCUGCCCAAUAGAAUACAAAUAUGGUGACCAUGAGAGUGAAAGCCACACCCUGAGGCUGAAGGUGAAGAAAAUGCAAGGAGACUGGAGUAUUGAAGGCAUUGUGGAGUGGCUGCACUGGUCCUGAGGUGUCAACCUCAAAAUCUUUACUCAGAAGUUCAAUAGGUCCAUGAAGAGAUUACUGAGUCUGCUAGGUCCUGCUGGUGCAUACCUGCUGAGACAGGGUAGAAGGUCACACAGUUAUCCUCACCAUGCUCCAAGGAGGAAGCCUGCUGUGGCUAAACAACCUUAUGUCAGAAAAUGAUGCAUAUUACUGUAGAAAUCAUAUAUGCAAGUCCAAAGGGAGAUGAUGAAAAAGAAAACAAGCUUUAAAGUCUACACAUUCCUAACACCGCAUUAGGAACUCAGCACUCAUAGUGAAAUCAAAGAAUGAUCACACUCAACUCCAUCUCAGACCUAGACUGAAAUAUCAAACUUCAAAAAGAAAAGAAAGUUAAGAACUUUAGGCUAAUCAAAAUUUUCCAACAUAGUUAACAUUAUUGCUGCCUUCAUCGCACUAGAAAACAUAAACAAGAAUCCAAGUUUUGUAUAUGCUUAAAUAAAAAUAUUUUUAUUUCUAUCCAUUAUGACAUAUAAGCAAGUAGUAAAAUAAAAGCACAAUAAAAUGAUGUAUAGAAUUGUCUCAGUCUAAAAAAAUUCAAUUGAGACUAUUAAUUUUAUGAAAACUAUAAAGAAUUCUUCAUGAAAUUAUAUUAUACACUAAUUUUUAGCAUUCUACUUACAUUUUACAUCAUCAACAAAUUAAAGGAAACAUUUAAACGUUAUUUUUUCAAUUUUAUUAUUCUAUUACAAUAAUCUUUUUGACAUAAGUAUUUCAAAUAAAACAUUCAAAAUAAAUUCUAGGUGCUGAUUUGAGCUUUUGAUGUAAUCAUACUUCUGUACCCAUAGUAAUGUGAAGUUAAACUUUCUCCUCACAAUGUAGAUCUUUUAUAACAACAGUGUUAUUCUUUUCUCUGACACAAACCCUGUGAUAUCACACAGUAUCCAUAUACUGUAUCGAUACAUUACAUGGCUCCAAACAGUAGGCUUCAAAUAAAUGAAAAAAUUAUAUUUGUGACAAAAUUCUAGAAAAGGGAAUGGUAAAGUGGGAGAAUAAUUUCUAACUUUUUAACUCUGGGUCAGUGGAUUUGGGUACAUUUAGAUGGACACACAUAUUUGCACACUGCAAGUGUGCACAUGUGUAUAUAUAUUUAUAUGUGUUACCCAAAAUAUAUGGAUUGUGUAAUCAUUUAAUCUACGCUUUUACAUUUAUGAAAUUUGAUAAGGGAUUAUCUUACCUAUAUUCAAUUUGAUGUAAAGCCAAUAAAAUCUCUGUCAACAUUCAUUUUAAUUAAUCCAAUAAUGUUAAUUGCUGAUAGCUUCAUUCUCCUUGUUCCCUGUUGGCAACCAGAAAGGUAAUUCUCCCUCUAACUUAGCUGUCAGGAUGCCAUCCAGGAGAGAUUGUCGUCUUGCUUUUCACUGUGACCUCUGACCCCACCACUGUCUUCCUGUAACAGUCCUAUCUUCGGGUAUUUAAUGAACUUUAUACAUGGCUAAAAGGUUAAAAGUGCAGUGAAAUGUUAGGCCCUGCUGCGAAAUGUUCCAUUGUUUCUAUAUGUCUAAUUGACCUUUCAUGUUAUGCAAGACAAGAAAAGCAAACCAAUAGGUUUCUUAGUAUCCAGUCCAACACAGUCUUUAUUAUUAAUAUGCUAAACAUGUUUCUUUCAAGGCAUUGACACCUAAACACUGCUAGAAGUAUCAAAAUGACUUCUCAUUAAUAACCAUUAUAUUAAUCACUGUUGCCCAGAACUAGAAUCUAACUGCGAAAUCCCCUGGUGGAAAUUGCUAUAAUCGUUCAAACUACAGGAAUGAAUAUUUUUCAGCAUAAUUACUGCUGUCGUCUUACUGAAAAAUAUCCCAUUAGAUGGCAGCUUUUAGUUACAUAAAUUGUGUUGAUUAAUUUUUAAUUUCCAGCAUUUAUAUGACAUUGCACAAGUAAAGAUCUUUGAUAAUUUAAAUGGUUAGCUGAGCAAUUAUUAAAAUAACUCACAGCAAUUGAAACAUUCAUUUACUUACUAGAAGUGCCGUACGUCAUUAACUCCUGAUUAAAACAAAGUUGGCAAAUUGCAAGUGCUGAAUUGAUCACUAAGAUAUUUAUCUCAUGGUGUUUAAUAAAACUAUUUGUGCCAUGUAUGAUGCCUCAGCUGCAAGGAUGAAACUUUAGUAUAAAUGUGUCAAAGCGAAGGAAUCUAAACAAUACUGGCAACAUGGCAUCUCAACUGUGUGCUCAAGCGCACAUCUGUGGCUCUAGGCAGGCAACUUAAAUGCUCUAUAACAUUACCAUUUGUAUCUAACCCAGUAACUCUUUCAUUUAAAACAAACAAAAGUUUCCAUACUUACAAGAAAACAAUGAGUUCUUAGUCUUACUUGUGUAAUUUAUGUUUUUAUCGACUUGUUUGAAUCUUCAUCUUAACUGUGAAUUCUCAGAUAACUUUCAGUUUCUUUAUCAGUAAAUUGAGAAGGUAACUGUGCUUAUUUCAUAACGCUGUACUAUGGGAUAAUAUAACUCAAGAAAUGUAAAUUUGCCUAGAUAACAUAUGGGAUGUACUGAGCAAUAAAUCAUCCUUCUCAUUAUAAUGUCUAUCACAAUUUUUUCAAAUGUAAGGCAAUAAUGAAAAGAUAAAUGUUUUAUACCUGAAAAUAAAUGUCUUUUGGUUCUUAAUGUCUCUCUGCAUUAGUCUUCAUAAGCUAAACACAAAAACACCCAUGUAUUUGGUUUUCAGCUGAGUUGACUAUCAAUUUUUAGGGUUUAAUUAAACAGAAUAAAAAUUUCAAAAAUAGAUGACUAGAUAAGAGAAACCACACUUUUAUCAUAAAUAAUAAUUAUUCCCAAGUCCCACU
rnacentral:lncRNA from 1 species